AAGCGGAGGAAAAGAAACUAACAAGGCUCCCCUUAGUAACGGCGAGUGAAGAGGGAAGACCUCAAAUUUGAAAUCUGGCGUGCUCAGCGCGUCCGAGUUGUAAUCUAAAAGAGACGUUUUCCGUGCCGGACCGUGUCCAAGUUCCUUGGAAUAGGAUAUCAAACGAGGGUGACAAUCCCGGUACUAUGACACGACCACCGGUGCCCUGUGAUGCGUCCUCCACGAGUCGAGUUGUUUGGGAAUGCAGCUCUAAACGGGUGGUGAGUUCCCAUCUCAAGGAUAAAUAUUGGCGAGAGACCGAUAGCGAACAAGUACCGUGAGGGAAAGAUGAAAAGCAGUUUGGAAAGAGAGUUAAACACCACGUGAAAUUGUUGAAAGGGAAACGAUUGAAGUCAGUCGUGUCCGUUGAGGCUCACCGGCUCUGCCGGUCUAUUCCCCUCGGAUGGGUCAACGUCAGUUCUGUUCGGCGGAUAAGGGCCGAGGGAAGGUGGUCUGUGUCAACCCUCGGGUUGUCGCGGCUUUAUAGACCUCUGUCACAUACGCCGGGCGGGACUGAGGACUGCAGCUCGCCUUCAUUGGCCGGGGUUUCGACCCACGUACCGAGCUUAGGAUGUUGACAUAAU
rnacentral:rRNA from 1 species